AUUGAACGCUGGCGGCGUGCUUAACACAUGCAAGUCGAUCGGUAACAGGUGUAGCAAUACAUGCUGACGAGAGGCGGACGGGUGAGGAAUAUUUGGGAAUCUGCCCAUCAGCGGGGGACAACCCGGGGAAACUCGGGCUAAUACCGCAUACGCUCUACGGAGGAAAGCCGGGGACCGCAAGGCCUGGCACUGAUGGAUGAGCCCAAAUCGGAUUAGCUAGUUGGCGGGGUAACGGCCCACCAAGGCGACGAUCCGUAGCUGGUCUGAGAGGACGAUCAGCCACACCGGAACUGAGACACGGUCCGGACUCCUACGGGAGGCAGCAGUGGGGAAUAUUGGACAAUGGGGGAAACCCUGAUCCAGCGACGCCGCGUGGGUGAAGAAGGCCUGCGGGUUGUAAAGCCCUUUCGGUAGGGAAGAAAUCUCUUGUCUUAACACGGCAGGAGUUUGACUUAACCUACAUAAGAAGCACCGGCUAACUCUGUGCCAGCCGCCGCCGUAAGAC
rnacentral:rRNA from 1 species